UCUGCAAUUAGUAAAAAAAAAUGACUAACGCAGUUAGCGGACUACAUGGGUGCACUGACCAAGCUCUAUUUAUAUUACCCGUUUUCCGUUUGAGUGAUGUUACUUUGCUUGAAAUUUUGAGAUUGCACUAUUAGCUUACUGUCAGGUCUGCACCAUUCUAGAUAUCAUCUUGACUUUUAACUUCUUCAAAUGCAAUAUUAGAUAACAUAAAUAGGAAAAAAUAUCAAAUUGUGAAACUGUAAGUAAUAGCCUCACCUAAAUAUUGAUCUGUUGUGUUAUUUCAGGGAAGAGGUAUGAAAUUCUCAACUUAGGAAGGAACAUCCAACCUGUAAUGUGUCGAUCACUAACUAAUAAACAUGAAUAUGAUGUUGGAAAGAAGCAAUUGGAUAUCAAAGCAAAAGGAUCACGGCUCCUCUUACAAAUCAGUGAAGUAUUCUAAUUCUGGCGAUCUAAGCGUCGGUCCAGGGUGAUUUACCUCUUCCAGCCACUUUCAGUUUGUUCCAAUUCAGUCCCCUCUUAGUUUGUGCUAAAAGAAAGUUAUUGUUAGGGAUUUGAGUUUACCCUUUUAACGUGUGCUUGUGCUAGAGCAGCGGCGCUCCCUCGGCUACGCCUGGGUGUUCGAGCUGUCAGUGUGGUACAGGAGCAUCAGCCACCACCGCUGCCAAGGAGCUCCAGCAACCACAUGAUCACUCUUGCUUCACAGACUAUGUAUGGUCAGUUCAGGUAAUUUUUCCUCGGUGAUUGUUGGCACCCAGGAUGUUACAAUCUUAUUCAUGAUCUAAUAAUUAGCUAGGAAUUUUUUAAAUAGGAUUUUAAUCAGUUAAUGUUUCUUCAUUUGGUCCAGAAAAUUGGAGGUUUUAGGAUCUUUGGAAGUUCUUUGAGGCAUCACCCUUCUUCUCCGCAGUUGAAAGGCCUUGAGCAGCUAAGAUAACUCAAAUGUGUACGCUCAUUCAAAGAACAUGGUUCAGGCCUUAACCAUGUAUGUUUGACGAAGUACAGCGUGGGGGAGGCAGUGUCCUCUGCAGCAAGGUCUACUUGCUGGCGACCUCACCAUCACCAACCCAUCUGCAGGUAUGCUAGCUCUUCAAAUGGAUUGAGUGGUACCCUCCUGAAAGUAUUGUAGGGAUGGACAUAUGGAUUGAUUGGUAGCCCCCUGAAAGCUACACAGAUUUGAACCAAUAACUUUAAUAAGAAUGUGUAUCCCAGCUCCUUUUAUAAUCUUGAAUCCUUAUCGGUCCUACUAAACUGUAAAUCAUGUUUCUUUUUGGAAACAAUAUUGGACUUAUACUAAUUAAGGUAGCUACAUGGGGACCUUUUGUUCUGCCCAGAUUUGAUGAUUUCUCUCAAUAUACUGCUGGUGAUGUAGUUGGCAAUGAUUAGGUGGGCGGUUCUUCGCAUUGCAGUCUGUAUUUAAGUUUGGACAAUUGGCUGCUAAUUUAUCAUGUGAAUAUGUUCUCUCUCUGCAGAUGAAGAUAGAAAAUAUUUGUUAUAUUCUUAUCCAAUUAGUUCACACCAUUGUUGUGAGCAACAGAAGAUUCAGAACUUUCAAGCUCCUUUUUUUCUUGCUAGCCAUGAAGGUGAUACUUUAGUAAAAGGUGCAUACAGUACUAACAUUUUUGCUAUCUUUAUGCUCCUCCAUAUGGAUGGGAACUAAAAGGAUGAUGAUAUUAUUCUACCUUUCAAUAUUUGGCGGCGCAUAUUUAAGAAAAUCACAGCUAAGCAUGUCACUUUCUAGAAAGGCGCUUGACUGGAAUGUAUAUGUAUAUAGUUAAUAAAAUCAUAGUGAUUGAUUUUUCAGUUCCUCUAUUUAGAUUAGAGGUGUCUGCAUGCAUAUUAGCCAAGUGAUUGGUCUUUCCAGUUCAAAAAAGAGAAAGUGACCGAUGGUUUGGCAUAUUUUCCUAUUAGGAAUAAAUGGAUAUGCCCAUGCACGUAUGCACACAGAUUUCAGGUUACAGUGUAAUUAGGAAACACAUGAUACCUCAUUGUGCCGUCUUGGUCUGAGAAGAGGGGAUAUACUUCGUGAAUAUAUAUGUUCCACCCAACCGUUGAUUUCAGAGAAAAGGACAUGCACUUCAGUAGCAAAAAUUUGAUUGUUACUAUGUACUAUCUGUAAUGCUAAGCAUUUAUUUGCUAAUCUCCUCAUCUGAAUUUGUGUUUUGUGCCAUUUGGCCUUUUAACUAUAUGGGCAUCUGCAGAUGGUCUGAAAACCAAGAUAUGCCAGAGAUAAUAACUAUAGUGGCUGCUCCAGAUGGACUAAGAAUGGGACCAUAUCCUAGGCCUACAUGCUAAUAUUGUACACCAAUGAAUGCUUCACUUAUUUAUACUUAUAAUCAGAUGUGUAAUGAUAAACGCGAUAUUAGCUUUUGUACCCAUCUUCAUGGUUGAAAUACUUUUCUGCAACCCGUGACACAUUUGCUUCAGU